rnacentral:rRNA from 1 species
GGUCAAGUUAUUAAGGGUGCAGGGCGGAUGCCUUGGCACUAGGAGCCGAUGAAGGACGUGAUAAGCUGCGAUAAGCUUCGGGGAGUUGCACGUAAACUUUGAUCCGAAGAUUUCCGAAUGAGGAAACUCACUUAGAGUAAUGUCUAAGUAUCAUUAAGUGAAUACAUAGCUUAAUGAGGGGAACUCAGGGAACUGAAACAUCUAAGUACCUGAAGGAAGAGAAAGAAAUUCGAUUCCGUAAGUAGCGGCGAGCGAACGCGGAUUAGCCCAAACCAAUAAAGUUUUCUUUAUUGGGGUUGCGGACAUAUCAUAACGAAGAGGUAUCGUAAUUGAAGAGGUUUGGAAAGACCCACCACAGAAGGUAAUAGUCCUGUAUGUUAAACGAGAAGACUUCAGAUAUGAUCCAGAGUACCACGGGACACGUGAAACCCUGUGGGAAGCAGGAGGGACCACCCUCCAAGGCUAAAUACUACCUAGUGACCGAUAGCGUAUAGUACCGUGAGGGAAAGGUGAAAAGAACCCCGGGAGGGGAGUGAAAUAGAACCUGAAACCCUGCACUUACAAGCUGUGGAAGCACAUUUCUUGUGUGACCGCGUACUUUUUGUAGAACGGGCCAACGAGUUACGUUAAGUAGCAAGGUUAAGCACUUAAGGUGCGGAGCCGUAGCGAAAGCGAGUUUUAACUGAGCGUUCAGUUACUUGACGUAGACCCGAAACCGGGCGACCUACCCAUGAGCAGGAUGAAGCGAAAGUAAAAUUUCGUGGAGGUCCGAACCCACGAGCGUUGAAAAGCUCGGGGAUGACUUGUGGGUAGCGGUGAAAUUCCAAUCGAGCCCGGAGAUAGCUGGUUCUCCCCGAAAUAGCUUUAGGGCUAGCCUCAAGGUGAGAGAUACGGAGGUAGAGCACUGAAUGUCCUAGGGGGUAUUGCACCUACCGAAGACUAUCAAACUCCGAAUGCCGUCAUCUUAUACUUGGGAGUCAGACUGUGGGUGAUAAGAUUCAUAGUCGAAAGGGCAACAGCCCAGAUCGUCAGCUAAGGUCCCUAAAUGUAAGUUAAGUGGUAAAGGAUGUGGGAUUGCACAGACAACCAGGAUGUUGGCUUAGAAGCAGCCACUCAUUCAAAGAGUGCGUAAUAGCUCACUGGUCGAGUGAUCCUGCGCCGAAGAUUUCCGGGGCUAAAACUUACUACCGAAGCUACGGCAUCAGUAAUGAUGGGUAGGGGAGCUUCCCAUACGGGUUGAAGCAUGACCGUAAGGACAUGUGGACAGUAUGGGAGUGAGAAUGUUGGCAUGAGUAGCGAGAUGUGGGUGAGAAUCCCACAGGCCGUAAACCCAAGGUUUCCAGGGGAAGGUUCGUCCGCCCUGGGUUAGUCGGGACCUAAGCUGAGGCCGAAAGGCGUAGGUGAUGGACAACAGGUUGAUAUUCCUGUACUACCGAUAACCGUUUGAGAGAAGGGAUGACACAGUAGGAUAAGCUAAGCACACUGUUGGUUAUGUGUGCCCAAGCAUUGAGGCAGUCAAAGUAGGCAAAUCCGCUUUGAUAAUGCUGGGAUGUGAUGGGGAGCGAAAUUUAGUAGCGAAGUAGCUGAUUUCACACUGUCAAGAAAAGUCUCUAUCGAGGUUAAAGGUACCCGUACCGCAAACCGACACAGGUGGGUGAGGAGAGUAUCCUAAGGCCAGCGAGAGAACUGUUGUUAAGGAACUCGGCAAAAUGACCCCGUAACUUAGGGAUAAGGGGUGCCACCAUCAGGUGGCCGCAGAGAAUAGGCCCAAGCGACUGUUUACCAAAAACAUAGGUUUCUGCUAAGUCGCAAGACGAUGUAUAGGAGCUGACGCCUGCCCGGUGCUGGAA